rnacentral:rRNA from 1 species
UACAGAGGUCCCAAGCGUUGUUCGGAUUCACUGGGCGUAAAGGGUGCGUAGGUGGCUUGGUAAGUUUGAUGUGAAAUCUCCGGGCUUAACCCGGAAAUGGCAUUGAAUACUAUUGAGCUGGAGGUUUGGAGGGGGGACUGGAAUUCGUCGGUGUAGCAGUGAAAUGCGUAGAUAUCGAGAGGAACACCAGUGGCGAAGGCGAGUCCCUGGACAACACCUGACACUGAGGCACGAAAGCUAGGGGAGCAAACAGG